rnacentral:tRNA from 1 species
GUUUUAGUAGCUUAACUUAAAGCGCCGGUCUUGUAAGCCGAAGAUAGUAUAAAUAUUCUAAGACU